CUCCCCCCGCUGCCCAUUGGCUGCGGCGAGAGGACGGGGCCCUGCACCAUUGUGCCUCGCUCCUGCUGCUUAACGACGUUCGUUAAGGCCGUGGCGUGAGGGGCCUGGCGCGGCGAGCGUGGGGGUCCGGCCCGCUCCGGGGGGGCUCCGAGCCUUCCUGCCCCUCCCCGGCGCCGCGCGUUGGACGUGGGCCGCAUCGCCCGCGUGGGAGGAAGCCUCAGAUUUCCUGAGGGCUUUGGAGGGCCGGGGAGGAAGCACUCGCUGUAGCCAGCCCUCCUCCGAGCCCCCGGGGAGCAACGACUGCGCCUUUCGUGGUGCCUACGGCGGGGCAGGAAACCGGCCGGGAAGAGGAGGCUUCGGCGACGCGGCCCUCGCCCCUGCUCGCCCCGAAACGGCGGCCCGCGUACGGGCGGCCCCGGGCUGCCCCGGCGCCGCCUCGCGCGCCAGCCGCGGCGCAGAAAACCCAGUCUCGCCGAUCAGGUCCGAUCCCAGAUGAAAACUCGCUAAAGGCAGCUCCUUCCGCCGCUUCCUGCUCGCUCCGGGCUGCUUGCGUCGCGGUCGCGUCCUGUUACUUCAGGCGCUGGAUAAUUUGUGCCGAACCUCGGGAUCAGAAUAAACGGUUUAAGAAGGGGCUGCGUCUGCAGCCCGGGCUCGGGACCGAGCGGUGUCCAACGCGUUUGGAGCGCGCGCGUGCCUGGAGGAAACCCAGCCUGUCUGCGGCCUCCUCUGCACCGGAGAAAAGCUGCGUUUGCCCAAUAAAUAGCUACUAGCGUGCCCAGCGCUGA